CAAGCACCUAAACCCAAGAACUGCUGUUUCUUGUAGUAGCAGUUUAAACAGAGGUGCUGAUAGCAAGCGGAUCUCGUCGCCUUUGGGGGCUAUGUCCGUGCCCCUUAAAGUGAAUUUGGAGGUUCUACACCC
rnacentral:snoRNA from 1 species